rnacentral:rRNA from 1 species
AGUGAACGCUGGCGGUAGGCCUAACACAUGCAAGUCGAACGGCAGCACAGAGGAGCUUGCUCCUUGGGUGGCGAGUGGCGGACGGGUGAGGAAUACAUCGGAAUCUACUCUGUCGUGGGGGAUAACGUAGGGAAACUUACGCUAAUACCGCAUACGACCUACGGGUGAAAGCAGGGGAUCUUCGGACCUUGCGCGAUUGAAUGAGCCGAUGUGGGAUUAGCUAGUUGGGGGGGUAAAGGCCAACCAAGGCGACGAUCCGUAGCUGGUCUGAGAGGAUGAUCCGCCACACUGGAACUGAGACACGGUCCAGACUCCUACGGGAGGCAGCAGUGGGGAAUAUUGGACAAUGGGGGAAAGCCUGAUCCAGCCAUACCGCGUGGGUGAAGAAGGCCUUCGGGUUGUAAAGCCCUUUUGUUGGGAAAGAAAUCCAUCUGGUUAAUACCCGGGUGGGAUGACGGUACCCAAAGAAUAAGCACCGGCUAACUUCGUGCCAGCCGCCGCAGUAA